rnacentral:rRNA from 1 species
CGGCGUGCUUAACACAUGCAAGUCGCACGAGAACGCUUUAGCUUGCUAAAGCUAGUAAAGUGGCGCACGGGUGAGUAACGCGUGGGUAAUCUACCCCUGAAUCUGGGAUAACGUUGCGAAAGUGACGCUAAUACCGGAUAACAUCUUAUUUAUUUCGAUUUAUUUGAUCAAAGGUGGCCUCUCCAUGGAAGCUACUGUUUGGGGAUGAGCCCGCGUACCAUUAGCUUGUUGGUAGGGUAACGGCCUACCAAGGCAACGAUGGUUAGCUGGUCUGAGAGGAUGAUCAGCCACACUGGAACUGACACACGGUCCAGACUCCUACGGGAGGCAGCAGUGAGGAAUUUUGCGCAAUGGGGGAAACCCUGACGCAGCAACGCCGCGUGAGUGAUGAAGGCUUUAGGGUCGUAAAGCUCUGUCAAGUGGAAAGAACCUACAAAGUGCCAAUACCACUUUGUACUGACGGUACCACUGAAGGAAGCACCGGCUAACUCCGUGCCAGCAGCCGCGGUAAUACGGGGGGUGCAAGCGUUAUUCGGAAUUAUUGGGCGUAAAGAGCGCGUAGGCGGCUUGUUAAGUCAGAUGUGAAAGCCCGGGGCUUAACCCCGGAAGUGCAUUUGAAACUAAUGGGCUUGAGUAUGGGAGAGGGAAAGUGGAAUUCCUGG